rnacentral:rRNA from 1 species
AGCGAACGCUGGCGGCAGGCCUAACACAUGCAAGUCGAACGAAGUCUUCGGACUUAGUGGCGGACGGGUGAGUAACACGUGGGAACGUGCCUUUAGGUUCGGAAUAACUCAGGGAAACUUGCGCUAAUACCGAAUGUGCCCUUCCGGGGACAGAUUUAUCGCCUUUAGAGCGGCCCGCGGCUGAUUAGCUAGUUGGUGAGGUAAAGGCUCACCAAGGCUACGAUCAGUAGCUGGUCUGAGAGGAUGACCAGCCACAUUGGGACUGAGACACGGCCCAAACUCCUACGGGAGGCAGCAGUGGGGAAUCUUGCGCAAUGGGCGAAAGCCUGACGCAGCCAUGCCGCGUGGAUGAUGAAGGUCUUAGGAUUGUAAAAUCCUUUCACCGGUGAAGAUAAUGACUGUAGCCGGAGAAGAAGCCCCGGCUAACUUCGUGCCAGCCGCCGCCGUAAUAC